rnacentral:rRNA from 1 species
UACGGAGGGUGCAAGCGUUGUCCGGAUUUAUUGGGUUUAAAGGGUGCGUAGGCGGGUGAGUAAGUCUGGUUUUAAAGUUGGUCGCUUAACGAUCAAAUGUGGCUGGAUACUGUUCAUCUUGAAAUUGUUGGAGGCAGCCGGAACGGGUCGUGUAGCGGUGAAAUGCAUAGAGAUGACCCAGAACACCAAUUGCGUAGGCAGGCUGCUACGACUGAUUUGACGCUGAGGCACGAGAGCAUGGGGAGCAAACAGG